rnacentral:rRNA from 1 species
GACGAACCGUGCGAACGUUAUUCGGAAUCACUGGGCUUAAAGCGCGUGUAGGCGGGCCGGCACGUCGGCCGCUGAAAUCCCCCGGCUCAACCGGGGAAGCGGCGCCGAUACGACCGGCCUGGAGGGGCGUAGGGGGACCGGGAACUUCCGGUGGAGCGGUGAAAUGCGUUGAGAUCGGAAGGAACGCCCGUGGCGAAAGCGCGGUCCUGGACGCCUGCUGACGCUGAGACGCGAAAGCCAGGGGAGCGAACGGG